rnacentral:rRNA from 1 species
AGCGAACGCUGGCGGUAGGCCUAACACAUGCAAGUCGAACGGCAGCACAGUAAGAGCUUGCUCUUACGGGUGGCGAGUGGCGGACGGGUGAGGAAUACAUCGGAAUCUACUCUUUCGUGGGGGAUAACGUAGGGAAACUUACGCUAAUAUCGCAUACGACCUACGGGUGAAAGCAGGGGAUAUUCGGACCUUGCGCGAUUGAAUGAGCCGAUGUCGGACUAGUUAGUUGGCGGGGUAAAGGCCCAGCAAGGGGACGAUCCGUAGCUAGUCUGAGAGGAUGGUCGGCCACACGGGAACUGGGACACGGUCCAGAGUCCUACGGGAGGCAGCAGUGGGGAAUAUUAGACAAUGGGCGCAAGCCUGAUCCAGCCAUACCGCGUGGGUGAAGAAGGCCUUCGGGUUGUAAAGCCCUUUUGUUGGGAAAGAAAAGCAGCAGGUUAAUACCCCGCUGUUCUGACGGUACCCAAAGAAUAAGCACCGGCUAACUUCGUG